GAUGAACGCUGGCGGCGGGCCUAAUACAUGCAAGUCGAGCGAACAGAUGAGGCGCUUUGUCCUCUUACUGUAGCGUCGGACGGGGGAGUAACAUGUGGAGAACCUACCUAUAAGACUGGGAUAACUUCGUGAAACCGGAACUAAUACCGGAUAAUCUAUUGAACCGCAUAGUUCAAUAGUUUAAGGCGGUUUUGCUUUCGCUGAUAGAUGGUUCCGCGCCGCAUUAGCUAGUUGGUAAGGUAACGGCUUACCAAGGCAACGAUGCGUAGCCGACCUGAGAGGGUGAUCGGCCACACUGGAACUGAGACACGGUCCAGACUCCUACGGGAGGCAGCAGUAGGGAAUCUUGCGCAAUGGGCGAAAGCCUGACGGAGCAACGCCGCGUGAGUGAUGAAGGUCUUCGGAUCGUAAAACUCUGUUAGUGGGGAAGAACAAAUGUGUAAGAAAAUAUGCACGUAUUGACGGUACCUAAUCAGAAAGCCCCGGCUAACUACGUG
rnacentral:rRNA from 1 species